CGGGAUGGUUUGGCACCUCGAUGUCGGCUCGUCGCAUCCUGGGGCUGGAGUAGGUCCCAAGGGUUGGGCUGUUCGCCCAUUAAAGCGGCACGCGAGCUGGGUUUAGAACGUCGUGAGACAGUUCGGUCCCUAUCUGCCGUGGGUGUUGGAGUAUUGAGAGGAUUUGUCCCUAGUACGAGAGGACCGGGAUGAACAUACCUCUGGUGGAGCUGUUGUGGCGCCAGCCGCAGUGCAGCGUAGCUACGUAUGGACGGGAUAACCGCUGAAGGCAUCUAAGCGGGAAACCCACCUCGAAACGAGUACUCCCUUGAGAGCCGUGGAAGACCACCACGUUGAUAGGCUGGGUGUGCAAGCGCGGUGACGCGUUGAGCUUACCAGUACUAAUCGC
rnacentral:rRNA from 1 species